rnacentral:lncRNA from 1 species
CUAAGACGUUGAAAUGGACCUGGCUUAAGAAUUCCCUCUCACAAAUGUUAUUAGAGCACAAUCGAUACACAAAGUUGAACAGAAACCUACAAUAUAAGCUCAUGAAAACUCGACAAGCAUGAUUCUUGAUUAUUCAACCACUAAGAGACUGCGACUUGCAGUUCAUAAAUCAAGGGCGAUUCCAGAAGUUAGUAAUGGAGUUGUGAAUUGAAGGCUCGUCGCUUACUAUUUUCCGAGGCAGAAUAUUGGGAGUGCCUUUCCUGCUUUUAAAGCAGCAAGACACGACUCUCCCACUGCAGCAAGGAAUAGCUUGUACUGUGCUGCUCAUCACAACAAGCAGAAAAAUACACACGAAAAUACUGAUUCCUUUGGCCAUCAGAACAAAUAUAUAUAAGUUCUUUCACCGUUAUGUUUAUGUUU